GCCGCGCAGAAGCAUAGUCCCGCCCUGGGAUAAACAAGCUUUACGUCCGCUCGGCAACACCCAACCCCGCACACCCGCGGCAAACCCUAGCGCCUGCGAAAUGCGCGUGCGCGCUUCCCGCUUGCGGCAGGGGCAAAGUCCAUUUGAGACUCCCACGCUCAGAAUUUGGCAGAGAAGAUGAGGUAGAGGGGCCAUGGGAACUUCCAGGGUGGAAGUGGGAAGAAGGAAGAAGGAGACAACUGAGAUGAACCUCACCUGUGUAUUGUUGGGUCACUCCUGCUUCUCCCACUACUGCAGCGUCUGCGCAGCUUCCGGGACAUGUUUUAUUUCUCCAAUUCAACAGGAGAGAUCAACAACUGGACCCAGUUUGUGGAGACUGGAAAACAGGAUUUCCUUUUGUUUUAUGACCUCAGUUUCCACCUCCUCCACCUCUGUGGCCUCUAGUUCCUCUUUCCUUUGUCAGGGAAGGUGUCACCUAUGGGUUUCCUCCUCAAAAUUGCAAAGGAAAUUCAAGAUAUAGUUCCUUUUCAGUCUGCAUCUUGGCUUCGUGACAAAACUCAGCUAUUGUUUUGAAGAGAAAUAUAAAAUGGAAUAGUAAAAAUUGAGAUCUAUGCAAGAA